rnacentral:rRNA from 1 species
UGGCGGCGCGCUUAACACAUGCAAGUCGAACGGUUAAAGCACCUCCGGGUGUGCAUAAAGUGGCGAACGGCUGAGUAACACGUGGGCAACCUGCCCCCCGCACCGGGAUAGCCUCGGGAAACCGUGGGUAAUACCGGAUACUCCGCCACCCCCGCAUGGGGGAGGCGGGAAAGCGUACACGGCGGGGGAUGGGCCCGCGGCCUGUUAGCUCGUUGGCGGGGUAACGGCCCACCAAGGCGAUUAUGGGUAGCCGGGUUGAGAGACCGACCGGCCAGAUUGGGACUGAGACACGGCCCAGACUCCUACGGGAGGCAGCAGUGGGGAAUCUUGCACAAUGGGCGAAAGCCUGAUGCAGCGAACCGCCGCGUGCGGGAUGAAGGCCCUCGGGUUGUAAACCGCUUUCAGCAGGGACGAGGCGCAAGUGACGGUACCUGCAGAAGAAGCCCCGGCUAACUACGUGCCAGCAGCAGC